rnacentral:rRNA from 1 species
GAUGAACGCUGGCGGCGUGCCUAAUACAUGCAAGUCGAGCGAACAGACGAUGAGCUUGCGCCUCUGACGUUAGCGGCGGACGGGUGAGUAAGACGUGGAUAACCUACCUAUAAUACUUGGAGGACUUCGGGAAACCGGAUCUAAUACCGGAGAAUAUAUUGAACGGCAGGGUUCAGUAGUUAAUCACGGUUUUGCUGUCACUUAGAGAUGGAUCCGCGUCGGAUUAGCUAGUUGGUAAGGUAACGGCUUACCAAGGCAACGAUGCGUAGCUGACCUGAGAGGGUGAUCGGCCACACUGGAACUGAGACACGGUCCAGACUCCUACGGGAGGCAGCAGUAGGGAAUAUUCGGCAAUGGGCGAAAGCCUGACGGAGCCACGCCGCGUGAGUGAUGAAGGUCUUCGGAUCGUAAAACUCUGUUAUUAGGGAAGAAAAACUGUGUAAGUAAAUAUGGCCGUCCUGACGGUACCUAAUGAGAAAGCACCGGCUAACUACGUG